UAGAAUACUAAAAAUGCUCUAAUUAGACCAUAAUAAUGCUAAGAAAGCUUAAUCAAAUUCAAAAAAAUCUCAAAGAAAUUUCAAACAAAUAAUAAGAAUUCUUAAAGAAAUAUUAAAAAAAUCACAAAUAUCACUCAAAUACAUCUCAAUUCAAUCUCAAUUUAAUUCUAGUUAAAAUCCUAUUGAACUUCAUUCAAACUUUAGGCAAAAACUAAUUAAAUCUUAAAUCCUAAUAAAUCUUAAAUCCUAAAUCAAACCCUAAAUAAACCUUAAACGAAAUCCUAACUAAAUCCUAAAUCCUAAAUCAAACCCUAAUCCCAACCUUAAAUCCUAAAUAAAAUCCUAACCAAACCCUAAAUCCUAAUCCUAAACCCUAAACCAAAUCCUAAUCCAAAUCCUAAAUCCUAACCCUAAAUCAAAUCCUAAUCCAAAUCCUAAUC
rnacentral:lncRNA from 1 species